UACAUAUGGGGCAAGCGUUGUUCGGAAUUACUGGGCAUAAAGGGUGCGUAGGUGGUCUAUUAAGUCAGGGGUGAAAUCCCGCGGCCCAACCGUGGAACUGCCUUUGAUACUGGUGGACUUGAGUGCGUGAGGGUAGGGGAACGAGCAGUGUAGCGGUGAAAUGCGUAGAUAUUGCUCGGAAGGCCAGAGCCGAAGGGGCCCUACUGGUACGUAACUGACACUGAGGCACGAAAGCGUGGGAGCAAACAGG
rnacentral:rRNA from 1 species